rnacentral:rRNA from 1 species
UCUACGGGAGGCUGCAGUGGGGAAUAUUGGGCAAUGGGCGCAAGCCUGACCCAGCAACGCCGCGUGAAGGAAGAAGGCUUUCGGGUUGUAAACUUCUUUUCUCAGGGACGAAGCAAGUGACGGUACCUGAGGAAUAAGCCACGGCUAACUACGUGCCAGCAGCCGCGGUAAUACGUAGGUGGCAAGCGUUAUCCGGAUUUACUGGGUGUAAAGGGCGUGUAGGCGGGAAAGCAAGUCAGAUGUUAAAACAAUAGUCUCAACCUGUUGCCUGCAUUUGAAACUGUUUUUCUUGAGUACUGGAGAGGCAGACGGAAUUCCUAGUGUAGCGGUGAAAUGCGUAGAGAUUAGGAGGAACACCAGUGGCGAAGGCGGUCUGCUGGACAGCAACUGACGCUGAGGCGCGAAAGCGUGGGGAGCAAACAGGAUUAGAUACCCUUGUAGUC